UACGUAGGGUGCGAGCGUUGUCCGGAAUUAUUGGGCGUAAAGAGCUCGUAGGCGGUCUGUCGCGUCGGUCGUGAAAACUUGGGGCUUAACCCUGAGCUUGCGGUCGAUACGGGCAUGACUGGAGUUCGGUAGGGGAGACUGGAAUUCCUGGUGUAGCGGUGAAAUGCGCGGAUAUCAGGAGGAACACCGGUGGCGAAGGCGGGUCUCUGGGCCGAUACUGACGCUGAGGAGCGAAAGCGUGGGGAGCGAACAGG
rnacentral:rRNA from 1 species